GACGAACGCUGGCGGCAUGCUUAACACAUGCAAGUCGAACGGUAACGCGCCUUCCUUUUUGGUUGGUGGGGACGGGUGGCGAACGGGUGAGUAACACGUGAGUAACCUGCCCCCUUCUGCUGGAUAACCGCAUGAAAGUGUUGCUAAUACGGGAGAUUCUGGGUCUGUUGCCUGAUGGGUCUGGGUUAGAGAUUGGUUCGGUUGGGGAUGGUCCCGGGGCCUAUUAGGUUGGUGGGGGGGUGAUGGCCUACCAAGGCGGUGGAGGGUAGGCGGCCUGGGAGGGUGGACGGCCAAACUGGGAAUGAGAAACGGGCCAGACUCCUACGGGAGGCAGCAGGGGGGAAAAUUGCGCAAUGGGCGGAAGCCUGAUGCAGCGACGCCGCGGGAGGGAUGGAGGCCUUCGGGUGGUGAAAAUCUUUCGCGAGUGAAGCAGGCCUGCCUGGUUUGUGGGUGGGUUGACGGUAGCUGGAGAAGAAGCGCCGGCUAACUACGUG
rnacentral:rRNA from 1 species